rfam:Triticum aestivum genome assembly, contig: Triticum_aestivum_CS42_TGACv1_scaffold_592492_7BS
AAAAUACUCCCUCCAUCCGAAAAUACUUGUCUUAAAAAUGGAUAAAAUGGAUGUAUCUAUAACUAAAAUAAGUCUAGAUACAACUAUUUCGAGGACAAGUAUUUCCGGACGGAGGGAGUACUUC